UGGCUGCAGUCGAGGAUAUUUAGCAAUGGACGAAAGUCUGACUAUGCGACGCCGCGUGAGGGAUGAAGGUCUUCGGAUCGUAAACCUCUUUCAAUAGGGAAGAAACCCUCCGUUGAAAGACGGAGGUUGACGGUACCUAGAGAAGAAGCCAUGGCUAACUCCGUGCCAGCAGCCGCGGUAAUACGGAGGUGGCUAGCGUUACUCGGAUUCAUUGGGUGUAAAGGGCAGGUAGGCGUCCCACUAAGUUAGAAGUGAAAUCCUUUGGCUCAACCAAAGAACUGCUUCUAAAACUGAUGGGAUUGAGACUAGAAGAGGAGAGUGGAAUUCCCGGUGUAAGGGUGAAAUCUGUAGAUAUCGGGAGGAACGCCAGUGGCGAAAGCGGCUCUCUGGUCUAGAUCUGACGCUGAACUGCGAAAGCUAGGGUAGCAAACAGGAUUAGAUACCCCGGUAGUC
rnacentral:rRNA from 1 species